GACGAACGCUGGCGGCGUGCUUAACACAUGCAAGUCGAACGAAAAGAGGGAAAGAGCUUGCUCUUUCCGGAAUUGAGUGGCAAACGGGUGAGUAACACGUAAACAACCUGCCUUCAGGAUGGGGACAACAGACGGAAACGACUGCUAAUACCGAAUAAGUUCCAAGGGCCGCAUGGCCCAUGGAAGAAAAGGUGGCCUCUACCUGUAAGCUAUCGCCUGAAGAGGGGUUUGCGUCUGAUUAGCUGGUUGGAGGGGUAACGGCCCACCAAGGCGACGAUCAGUAGCCGGUCUGAGAGGAUGAACGGCCAAACUGGAACUGAGACACGGUCCAGACUCCUACGGGAGGCAGCAGUGGGGAAUCUUCCGCAAUGGGCGAAAGCCUGACGGAGCAACGCCGCGUGAGUGAUGACGGCCUUCGGGUUGUAAAACUCUGUGAUCCGGGACGAAAAGGCAGAGUGCGAAGAACAAACUGCAUUGACGGUACCGGAAAAGCAAGCCACGGCUAACUACGUG
rnacentral:rRNA from 1 species